CAUAGCCACGGUAAUACGUAGGGUGCAAGCGUUAAUCGGAAUUACUGGGCGUAAAGCGUGCGCAGGCGGUUAUAUAAGACAGAUGUGAAAUCCCCGGGCUCAACCUGGGAACUGCAUUUGUGACUGUAUAGCUAGAGUACGGCAGAGGGGGAUGGAAUUCCGCGUGUAGCAGUGAAAUGCGUAGAUAUGCGGAGGAACACCGAUGGCGAAGGCAAUCCCCUGGGCCUGUACUGACGCUCAUGCACGAAAGCGUGGGGAGCAAACAGGAUUAGAUACCCGCGUAGUCCCUGUCUCUUAUACA
rnacentral:rRNA from 1 species